rnacentral:rRNA from 1 species
AGGAAAAGAAACUAACUAGGAUUCCCUUAGUAACGGCGAGUGAACCGGGAUGAGCUCAAAUUUAAAAUCUGGCGUCUUUCAGGCGUCCGAGUUGUAAUCUAUAGAGGCGUUUUCCGCGCCGGACCGCGUCCAAGUCUCUUGGAAUAGAGUAUCAAAGAGGGUGACAAUCCCGUACUUGACGCGACAACCGGUGCUCUGUGAUACGUUCUCAAUGAGUCGAGUUGUUUGGGAAUGCAGCUCUAAAUGGGUGGUAAAUUCCAUCUAAGGCUAAAUAUUGGCGAGAGACCGAUAGCGAACAAGUACCGUGAGGGAAAGAUGAAAAGCACUUUGGAAAGAGAGUUAAACAGCACGUGAAAUUGUUAAAAGGGAAACGAUUGAAGUCAGUCGUGUGAAAGGUAUUCAGCCGUCUCUGGCGGUGUAUUUGCCUUUCACGGGUCAACAUCAGUUUGAUCCGGUAGAAAAAGGCGGGAGGAAGGUGGCACCCUCGGGUGUGUUAUAGCCUCCUGUCAUAUGUGCCGGACCAGACUGAGGAACGCAGCUUGCCGCAAGGCCGGGGUUCGCCCACGUACAAGCUUAG